AGUGAACGCUGGCGGUAGGCCUAACACAUGCAAGUCGAACGGCAGCACAGUAAGAGCUUGCUCUUACGGGUGGCGAGUGGCGGACGGGUGAGGAAUACAUCGGAAUCUACUUUUUCGUGGGGGAUAACGUAGGGAAACUUACGCUAAUACCGCAUACGACCUACGGGUGAAAGCAGGGGAUCUUCGGACCUUGCGCGAUUGAAUUAGCCGAUGUCGGAUUAGCUAGUUGGCGGGGUAAAGGCCCACCAAGGCGACGAUCCGUAGCUGGUCUGAGAGGAUGAUCAGCCACACUGGAACUGAGACACGGUCCAGACUCCUACGGGAGGCAGCAGUGGGGAAUAUUGGACAAUGGGCGCAAGCCUGAUCCAGCCAUACCGCGUGGGUGAAGAAGGCCUUCGGGUUGUAAAGCCCUUUUGUUAGGAAAGAAAAGCAGCAGGUUAAUACCCCGCUGUUCUGACGGUACCCAAAGAAUAAGCACCGGCUAACUUCGUG
rnacentral:rRNA from 1 species